CUGAGCUCCAGGUUUUCCCACCUGAAGCACAUCCGCAAUCAGCACAUCAGGGCCUCCGCCUGCAAUCAACACACCUUUAAGAGACCAGCCAACCUUCCAGUCCCCGUCGGAUCGUUGUACCUCACAGACACCUGCACACGCACCACGCGGAUUCCCUCCUGUGCCCCGGAAUCAUCGAAGCUCGGGGACCAGAACCACAUGCCCUCGGAACGACCACCUCACCCCAACCUCUCCCGGGUCACCCUUGUGCACAAUAAACCACUUCUGUUCAUUCU